GAUGAACGCUGGCGGCGUGCCUAAUACAUGCAAGUCGAGCGAACAGACGAGGAGCUUGCUCCUCUGACGUUAGCGGCGGACGGGUGAGUAACACGUGGAUAACCUACCUAUAAGACUGGGAUAACUUCGGGAAACCGGAGCUAAUACCGGAUAAUAUAUUGAACCGCAUGGUUCAAUAGUGAAAGACGGUUUUGCUGUCACUUAUAGAUGGAUCCGCGCCGCAUUAGCUAGUUGGUAAGGUAACGGCUUACCAAGGCAACGAUGCGUAGCCGACCUGAGGGGGUGAUCGGCCACACUGGAACUGAGACACGGUCCAGACUCCUACGGGAGGCAGCAGUAGGGAAUCUUCCGCAAUGGGCGAAAGCUUGACGGAGCAACGCCGCGUGAGUGAUGAAGGUCUUCGGAUCGUAAAACUCUGUUAUUAGGGAAGAACAAAUGUGUAAGUAACUGUGCACGUCUUGACGGUACCUAAUCAGAAAGCCACGGCUAACUACGUG
rnacentral:rRNA from 1 species